rnacentral:lncRNA from 1 species
AUAAUUUGGACAUUGCUUUUGAAAAGUUAAAUAGCUGGAAAAAUUAUUUUUAAAAAUCCAUAAUCCUUGUUUAUUUUGAUGAAAUUCUUAGACAAAAAAUAAAACCAUGAGGAAAUCUAUUGUGAGGAUGACGAAAGGAAAAAGGUUCUUGAAUAUAUUAAAGUAAGACAAAGUAGCUUUAAAAACUGUGAAAUAUAUUUAAAAAUACAAAAUUUCCGUAAAGCCUUGUACAGCCAAAAACACAUAAUAGACCACUCAUACAUUUUUUUUGGUCUGAUCAAUUGAAUGCAUAUUUAAUUUAACUUAGGUUAUAGGUCAAGUGGAUUAAGAAAAUUCACUUUUGCUAAGAAAAUGAAAUAGUGGUAAAGGAUCUGUUGAGCUCAUUUACUAUUAACUGUUUUGAAAAAAUAAGAAUAUUUCAUGUGAAAAUGUUAAUUAGAAAAAUGGACUAUAUUGGUUGCAGUAUUGCUCAACAUAUGUGUAAGGCUCAUGCUUAUAAAAUCUGAAGAGAAAAUAACUACAAAUCACCCUGUUAAUUUGUUGGGCAUUUCUAGCUGAAUUAAGUUUGUCCUUGUUAAAGAAAUUAUCUUCGUUUUUCCCCCUCAGGAAUGCAUGUAAAGCAGUUCCUGUCUCAAUGUACGCCUAAGGCAGAAAGUUCAGCGCUCAAUUACCUGCUGUCUGAAGGCUCAUAUUUUGCAGUGAGCAAGUGGAAUAGCAUUUUAAUCAGAAGUCUUGACCCACGUUCUUCUUUUUCCCUUCACAGCCCUGCAAGCUAUUUGGCAUAUGAAGGUCUUGACCUGAGAAAACCAUCUUGGAUAACCGCGGCAAGGAGAAGGAAAAAUGCAACACCUAGGAGAUUUCAAGCAGCAAAGCAAAGCCUGGGAACCAGGCCAAAUGCCUGCCACUUACCUUAAAUUGAUCAGCCACUUUGAGAUUAAAACUCCUGAAAGCUGCCACACCGUGAAAACAAGGCCUCCUUCACAUUAAAGGCAAAUUGCGACUUUGAGUUUGCUGUGAUCUUUUUUCCAUUUUAUCCAGUUUUUCACAGUGCACACUUUUUUUUUUUCCUUUCCAUUUAUGCUCCAAUGUAGAAGCCAAUAGUUACAGCAUCUUGGCCAAGCAUUCAUUAAGGUUUAUAAGACCAAAAUUUAUGGUUAUUUAGGAGUUGGCACAAAGACAGACUGUUGCUGGAAAAAGAAAAAGAAAUACAGGUGGGAAAUAUAAGCCUCAACAAAGGCGCAUACUAUACAGUAGUGUGCUGGGCUCACAGGAGUGUCUGCCAGGAAAAUAUUGUAUCGUAUUUAAAACCAGCUACUCCUCUGUUCUGAAUCCUUCCCAUUUUAUGGCUCUGUAGGUGAUUGAAACAAGUAUACUGGUCAUUCCAAGAGACUUUUCUGACUUUAUAAGUGCUACCAUUUCCAGGAGCGGGCAGUCGUAGAGAUAAACUGAUGUGUGUUAAUCUGGGUGAUAAUCUGUCACUUGGCUAACAGAUGAGGUGAAUUGAAAAAAAUAUAUAUAUACAUAUAUAUAUAUAUAAUGGGUCAGAAUAAGGGCUCUCCCAUGAAGAGAAGAGUCAUGUUAUCCUCCUCAGUAGACCUUACAUAAUGGCAGGGCCUGUGUUCCCAAAAAUGUAGGGUGUGGGCAAAACACACCCUUAGUCUUUGAAUUCGGGUAGUAAUGUGGAAUUCUGGCACAGGCUGGAAGUCUAUAUUCUCCCUCAGGAAAUAUUGUUAAUGAUUCUUUUUUUUUUUAAAUACUCUCUGAUUUCCUAGACUAGGGGAAUAAGAAGGCUCCUUGUCCUGUCAUUUGCAAUAUUUGUGAAGCAAUCAUUUUAAGAAUAUAUUUUAGUUUACUCAUUGUCCAGGAGUACUGCAUGUAAUGAAAAAACAGCUUCAGUGUUUCAUGAUGUAAACU